rnacentral:rRNA from 1 species
UACGGAGGGGGCUAGCGUUGUUCGGAAUUACUGGGCGUAAAGCGCACGUAGGCGGCUUUGUAAGUUAGAGGUGAAAGCCCGGGGCUCAACCCCGGAAUUGCCUUUAAGACUGCAUCGCUAGAAUUGUGGAGAGGUAAGUGGAAUUCCGAGUGUAGAGGUGAAAUUCGUAGAUAUUCGGAAGAACACCAGUGGCGAAGGCAACUAACUGGACAUGUAUUGACGCUGAGGUGCGAAAGCGUGGGGAG